UCAACAGAGAAGGCAAUUCAGCAUGAGGAAAAAGAAGAGGUCAGCUCUGCCCUCUUCCCUUCCUGGCAACUUCUAAUUGAAUGCUGAGCAAUCUCUUGGGAGGAUGUUUCAAGAUGGGCUGUGAUGGAGCAAGUUGAAUCAAGAUACUACCAGCUACAAAAAACAGCUCUACAGCCAACUUUGCAACAGUUUGGAUGUCAAUUUGCUCGAGCCACAGCAGAAGCUUAACUGAUCGCUGAACGAAUAAAGAGAAAUAAACAAUGAAUUAUGGUAAUUCUGAAAACCCGGAGUGGAUCUCGACAGCCAGCGGACUGGAAGACCGGGAGCAGAGCGGAACAACCGGCAGACUGUAAAUCUGGAGCGGGACGUGACAGCCGGCACACUGACUCAUAAACCAGAGGUGAUCUAUUAUCUGUGAAGAACUAAAGUCAACUUUUACAUGAGAUAUGUGGAAAAUUUCAGGUUAUUUGGCCAAAAAUAGGGGUCUGCAUUUACAUGAGAUUGACUAUGACUCGAGUAUAUACUGUAAUAAGUGGAUUUAUUUAUUGUUAGUCAGUUCAUGAAUAUCACUGUAAUAAUAGUGUUUAAUACAUGGCAUUUCUGCUGCUAUAUAAAGCACUGUGACCCAUUCCGAUCUUCUUCUACUAAGGACAGCACGGAGUCUCAUCAACCCAAAUGCCAUGCAAUUACCAUCAGCUUUCUUAAAAAAUCUAAACAUGUCAAUACUUACUGGUCACUGUAGAUGAAUAAUAAAAUCAUUCUCUUCUAUUGGCCUCAAUGCUAGGUGAAAACUAUUAUGAAUAUGAUAAAAGUUGGACCAUUGAUUUUCAAUAUUAACUAUUGAUAAGAUUUUAAUAUCUUGAACUAUCAUGGACAGAAGUGGUUUCAAAAAUGAGAAAACUCUGGUGUAAAACUGUCCGUAGUUAACACAGGCUGAGGCAAGCUUCAUGAAACCAUGAAUUCAUAAUCACAGAAUCGUUCUGGUGUAGAAACAGACCACCCAGCCCAUCGUGCCUGCUCUUCAAAGGGGAAUCAUUAUUUAGCACCAAUCUCCUGCUUUGUCAUCAUACCUUGCAAACCAUUUCUAUCCAAAUAAUCAUCCAACGCCCUCUUGAAUGUCUCAAUUGAACCGACCUCCACCACACUUACAGGUUUUGCAUUCCAUACCCUAACUACUCGCUGUGUGAAAAAGCUUUGCUCCUUUUGCACAUCACUAUAAAUCUAUG